GUGCUACAGCGGGGGCCGUGCAAAACAGUGGUUCAACCUGAGAAAAGUUACAGGGUUAGGAGAGCACCGGCCGCGACCCACCCGGCCCCGGGCGCGGGGCGGGCACUGAGGCUGCCCUGCUACGGGGGGACGCGCCCACUGCAGGCCCAGGGCCUGUCCCCUGGCCCUCUGGCCUUCCUCCGCCGGCCCGGCCCGGCGGCCCACCGCCCACAGCCGGCCUGCCCCAGCCCAGGCCUGAGCCCUGUCUUCUUCCUCGCUCGCGCAGUGGGAGCCUCGAAGAACCGGCUUCCGUGCAAUGGAAAGUUUCAAGUAGCCGCUUGAAAUUUAAAGAAAAAUUCUAAAACGUUAACGAAACUGGUAAAAUUAAUUUAACAAUAUAUUUUAAUUCAGUAUACCCAAAAGGACUUUUCAAUAUGCAAUGGAUGUGACAUGUGAACGAGGUAUUUGACGUUCUCCUACUAGGUCGUCAGUCCACUUCACACCAAGCACACUGAGGUUCAGAGGAAGCCCUUCCCGGCAGCGGGGGCGGUGGCUCCCAGGGCUGUGUCUGGCCACUGCCCGCCUGCCCUCAAGCACACCUCACUCAAGCUCAGAGCUUCCCUGGCUGCCAGGCCCGGAGCCCUGUGCCCUCCACAUCCUCAGAGCUGUGCUUCGUCCCCUCUUGCCACCCCUCAGUUCCUGGCAGACCCUUCGACCUGACGCGUUUCAAACCCCAGCUCUGGUAGUUGUCCUGUCCCAGCUUGGCGUCCUUCUGCCUUACUCCAAGGCACUGAACCAUCCGACCUCCUCAUCCCGUGAACAAGGCCACUGGGAACAGCUCCUCAGAAGGCAGGAAGGGCCAGGGAGCAGGCAUGUGGAACAGUGCUGGACUGAGCUCAAGUGUCUUCAGACACCCAGGAAGACAGCCUAGGAAGAUAACCCGGAAGUCCCUCUUCUUUUGUUCCCCAAGAGGAUGCUUCUUUCUGAAGCAAACUCCACAUUUCAACUGGUUAACAAAGGGAAGAGGGAUCCAUUUUUAUAUUUUUUGCUUUCUUCCUUAAGAUUUCUAACUGGUCCCCCAACCUUAUUCUGUAAGUAUGUGGUUUAUGCAACUGGAGCAAUUUGUGUUUUUAAAAGAAACAUCAUUAAUAGUUAAUAAAGCUUCCCAAG
ensembl:lincRNA